CCUACGGGAGGCUGCAGUGAGGAAUAUUGGUCAAUGGACGAGAGUCUGAACCAGCCAAGUAGCGUGAAGGAUGACUGCCCUCUGGUUUGUAAACUUCUUUUAUAUGGGAAUAAAACGUUCCACGUGUGGGAUUUUGUAUGUACCAUAUGAAUAAGGAUCGGCUAACGCCGUGCCAGCAGCCGCGGUAAUACGGAGGAUCCGAGCGUUAUCCGGAUUUAUUGGGUUGAAAGGGAGCGUAGGUGGAUUGUUAAGUCAGUGGUGAAAGUUUGCGGCUUAACCGUAAAAUUGCAGUUGAAACUGGCAGUCUUGAGUACAGUAGAGGUGAGCGGAAUUCGUUGUGUAGCGGUGAAAUGCUUAGAUAUCUCGAAGAACUCCGAUUGCGAAGGCAGUUCACUGGACUGCAACUGACACUGAGGCUCGAAAGUGUGGGUAUCAAACAGGAUUAGAUACCCUUGUAGUC
rnacentral:rRNA from 1 species